rnacentral:rRNA from 1 species
GAUGAACGCUAGCUACAGGCUUAACACAUGCAAGUCGAGGGACCGGCGCACGGGUGAAUAACACGUAUCCAACAUGCCCUUUGCUCGGGGACAGCCUUUUGAAAGAAAGAUUAAUACCUGAUAUAAAGAAUGGGGAUGCGUUCAAUUAGGUUGUUGGUGAGGUAACGGCCCACCAAGCCUUCGAUGGAUAGGGGUUCUGAUAGGAAGGUCCCCCACAUUGGAACUGAGACACGGUCCAAACGCCUACGGGAGGCAGCAGUGAGGAAUAUUGGUAAAUGGGCGCUAGCCUGAACCAGCCAAGUAGCGUGAAGGAUGAAGGCUUAUGGGUCGUAAACUUCUUUUAUAUAAGAAUAUGUAUUAUAUGAAUAAGGAUCGGCUAACUCCGUGCCAGCAGCCGCGGUAAUUC